GAUGAACGCUAGCUACAGGCUUAACACAUGCAAGUCGAGGGGUAACGAGAGGAAAGCUUGCUUUCCUUGUCGACGACCGGCGCACGGGUGAGUAACGCGUAUCCAACCUGCCCCCAACUAGGGAAUAACCUUGCGAAAGUAAGACUAAUACCCUAUAAUUUCCUCAGAUGCCAUCUGACGAGGAAUAAAGAUUUAUCGGUUGUGGAUGGGGAUGCGUCUGAUUAGCUUGUUGGCGGGGUAACGGCCCACCAAGGCAACGAUCAGUAGGGGUUCUGAGAGGAAGGUCCCCAACAUUGGAACUGAGACAAGGUCCAAACUCCUACGGGAGGCAGCAGUGAGGAAUAUUGGUCAAUGGGCGGAAGCCUGAACCAGCCAAGUAGCGUGCAGGAUGACGGCCCUAUGGGUUGUAAACUGCUUUUAUACAGGAAUAAAGUUGGCCACGUGUGGUUAUUUGUAGGUACUGUAUGAAUAAGGACCGGCAAAUUCCGUGCCAGCCGCCGCCGUAA
rnacentral:rRNA from 1 species